AGCAGGAGGAGCUGGUGCUGCUGCUACCGCCGCCACAUGGGGAACGGCGCCCUCCCGCCGCCGCCGCCGCCUCAGGGCACGGAGCAGGCGCCGACGAGGAGGCUCCCUGAGGCGGCAGCCGAGGCCCAGAGGCACCGGGAAGGCCUCGGGCAGCGCCGCCGGAGCCCCUCCUUUUCCUCCCCGCUGCCCUCUCCGCGUCAUACCUGACAGCCGCGGCGCAGCAGCAGCUCCUUGGGGUUUAAUUUGUCGGUGGCGGGUCCGGAUCUGGGAGGUCAGAGUUCGUGACCCCGCUCCCCGCGUUCCGUCCAGCCCCGUCUCUCGCGUGGCGUAACGCCGUUCUGCCUUCCCCUCCCCCAACCGCCGCCGCAGCUGCCGCCGCCGCCACCAGCAUCAGCACGGCUGCGCUUGCGCAAAGCGAGCCCAUGGCGGAGGCGGGGCGAGUGUCACCGGGCCGGCGGGGAGAGAGUGGGAGGAGGAGAGGAGGGAGAGAAGAACCCCCCCCACACACACACCCUGAAGUUGUCACAGCGAUGCUGGGACGGGCGGGUACGGCAGCUAGAACAGCCCUUCCGAAUCUGUAACCGGAGAGGUUUUUUUGCGCUCAGGGCUUUUGUUGCUUUUGGACUCCAGCUCCCGUCAGCCCCAGCCAGCAAGGCCAACGGACAGGAAUGAUGGGAGUUGUAGUCCAGCAGCAUCUGAAGGGCCAAAAGCCUUGUAAAAGGGUGCACGUAGCCUGCCUUGUUGGGGUUUCAGUGUUUAGCCGUUUAUUGUGCUAACCAAACAACAAACAAUAAAAAUAUUUAGAAUAUUAACAUAUGUUCUGUAGUAGUAUGCAAUUAUUAGAACAGGUUAUGGGUUGCAUCCCGUUUUAGUGCUGAUCAGAGUAGACGCACUGAAAUGUAGUCUUACAAUAAAGGGAUUUAAGGACAGAAGUCAUUGAGUAAGCAGGGGCAUUCAGUACCAUUACAUGUACUUAGGCCUAAUUUCAAGAGAUAUGAUGAUGAUGAUGAUGAUAUUCUUCAGUUAUGUUAUCUUCCUCAAAGCAACUUGCAACUAAACAUGACAGCAUUUUAACAUGUAAUAUAAUGAAAAAAUACACACUUGUGACAUUGGUACUGUUAGAAGAAAAAACUGCUCCUUUCCCCUUAUGGGGUAUUCCAGAGCCUGUAGAGUCCUCCUAAGGUUCCUUAUCAGCAGGAGAAAGUAACAGAGACCAACCAGAGGAUAUUGAGAAGCAAAGCUGCAAGCAAGCCUGAUCUAUUAAAGAAAUUGUUGCAACAGGGACUGCCCACUCACCACAGGCAGGAGGAAGGAGAACCCUGAACAAUGGUGCACAAGUCCUUAUAUAGACUUUUGAAAUUGCCCACCCUGUAGCCCAAGACCAUUCCCCUGAAACAUCAUACAUCACAGAAGGAGGCAGUCUACAGCAGAAAUCCUGUUUGCCAAGAUACCUAUUGAUGGUCACUGACUGCAUUAUCUGGGCAGUCUAGCCAUUCUUUUGUGAGGGUUAAUACUUUAGUUCCUGAAUCCAGGUCACAGGCUCACCCUAUUCAUACACAAUGCGGCCUUAAGACAGGAUUUGCAAGCAAAAAGACAAUGGGAAGGCUUUCCCCAUUUGCCUCCCUUAAAGCAGAGGAAUAUUUGAGGUAACUGGGAGAGUCAAAAUGGCUUCAGGAUUGCUCUCCUGUAUUACCGGUAUUUCAGACACAUGGUUUAUGUACUUAUGUAUGUGUUUGCCUUGUACAUUUAUGAACAUUUAAUUUAUAUUUGAGACCUUAGAAUUCUUAUAACAUUAUCUUGCCCCUUAAUGAGUCUCUGUAAAAACUGAAUCUGCUUGGGACCCUCUGGAGAUCUAGAUGUGAGUAAACAAUCAAGUAGUACUGUUGCCUGGGAAGCAGGUGAGCCAAGGAUGGCUGUGCAGUUUACCUUUGAUGUAGCUGUAUUCCCUCACCUCCUCAGCUUCAGUGUGCUGCUGCUUUGGGAAGCUUAGGUGAUGGUGAGCAAGACUGCAAUCUUGUACACAGUUAUCUAGGAGUAAAAAAUGCCCCUUUUCCUUCAGAAGAUAGACUUGGCCAUUGUCAUUCAUGAUUUAAUUGAAAAAUACAUCUGGGAGCUCUGCUGACCUGCUUAUGAACUUGAGCAGGUCACUUGUCUCAGUCAGUAGUCUGCCUUCAGAAAAACAGAUGUUGCAGCAAUAAACGGAUAGUGUAGUGUUUUGGAUUUAGGUGUGCACAGUGCUAUACUAGAAAAGAGGUGCCAGAACUCAUCAUGAACACCUCCCUUGUUCUCUUAUAAUGUCAAUGGCACCCACCUGAGAGGUGCUGGAACUGAGUUCCAGCUGGAAAAAAAGCCCUGGGUGUGAACCAAGUGAGUGCAAGUCACUUGACUCCAUCUAGUUCAGCACUCUGCUUCUAAGCAGUGGCUUAUCGGCUCCACAUGGGAAACUUAAAUGUAAGACAUGAGGGCAACUGUAUUCCUGUUUGUCCCCAGCUCCUGCUAUGAGCAGUGGCAGCUAGGAAGAGAUUUGUGCUUGCCCAAUGCAAUGUAUUUAUAUGUUUCGAUCUGUAUUAUACAUACAUCUUCUGUCUUGCUCAUGCUCCAGCAUGGCCAAUAUAUUAAGAGCUAUAGUCAAUAAUUUUUCCUCUCUUCCCCUUGACACCUCAGGCAGUUCUUUCAGAGCUCUUGUUUUUUGCUGAGGAGUGGAAAUUAGGGAAGCACCCCAAAGAUGGCUUGAGGGUACUGACCUCAUCAGCCUCCUGCUAACAAGAGUUAUAUCUUCAGUGUAUUGAAUGGAUGUGAGUGAUAAGCCCAUCUUCCUAGGCAGCAGAUACUGUUAGGAGAGAAAGGGACAAUCUGGGGAGUCCCAGGAUUUAAACUACUGUAGAACAUACAUAGUCCUAUGUAGCCACUGCAUGUAGUGAUAUAAAAAGGUAAAAGGACCCCUGGACGGUUAAGUCCAGUCAAAGGUGACUAUGGGGUACUGUGCUCAUCUCAUUUCAGGCCGAGGGAACCAGCGUUUGUCCACAGACAGCUUUCUGGGUCAUGUGGCCAGCAUGACUAAACCGCUUCUGGUGCAACGAGACCCCGUGACAAGUGCCAGAGUGCACAGAAACGCCAUUUACCUUCCCGACGCAGCGAUACCUAUUUAUCUACUUGUGCUGGUAUCCUUUUGAACUGCUAGGUUGGCAAAAGCUGGGACAGCAACGUGAGCUGACCCUGUCUUGCAGAUUCAAACAGCUGACCUUCCAAUCGGCAAACCCAAGAGACUUGGUGGUUUGGAUCACAGUACCACCCAUGUCCCUAUGUAGUGGUAUAUGCUGUAGCGUAGCCUUGUAUUUAAGUGAUAGACAAGGAAUUGUAUUGAGGGGUGUGAGUGUCAGGCUGAUUGAGGAGGGAUGGAUUGCUUUGUUCCUCUGUGUCCAACUUAGCAACCAAGUGGGUUGCCAAAAGAGGGACCACCCCUCCACGGCCAACACAGAAAUGCAAAACUCUGUCCCUCUUUUGCCUGGCCCUGGAAGACUAAUAAAACAUUUUGUAAACUAGUAUGGUCUUAUUUUAUUUAUUUAUUAAAUUUAUAUAGCCACCCAUCAAUAAAUACUUCCUUGGUGGCUUACAAAACAAAUAAUGAAGACAAGUGUACAGUAAUUAAAAUCAAUAUGCAACAAAAAUUACAACAUUUUAUUUAUAAAUUACUUAUUUUACAAGGCUCCUCUAAGUGAAUGGCUGCUAAAAAGAGCAGCAAGGAUCCUGGGGGCUGACAGUGCAGUAGAAACUGCCAGAAAUACACCCAGGUAUAGCAUAUCUCUGUUUUAUUUUAAAAUACACACAAACUCCAUAACUGUGACUGAUUUGCAGGCAUCUCAUUACAGGACCCAAGCUAGGUUUCUUUGGAAAGAAGUGCACAGGGGGUAGAGAAACAUUGUCAGCCAUAUGGCUGUCAAAUCCAAAUUUAGUGGCCGGAAUAUUUUGGGCAAGCAGGUAAGUGUAAUAUUUUAUCAAUACACACACAGUGUUUAUUAUAUUCAGGAGACUCUGCUUUUACUCAUUUGCCACUGGGCGAGGGAGACACUUCAAAUUUAUUUUGAUAAAAACGUAACUACGUAUUUCUGAUUACUUUCAGUUGUUUUAAUUUGCAACAUUAAAAGUUCUGUUCAUUCUGUUCAUUCUGUUAUUGUCAGUACAAUCUAUAAGAGCACUUGAAAAAUUAUAGAACAGUAGAUGAAACAAAACUGUCAGUGCCUCUUACAUUCUGUGACACUUCUACACUUGAGAUCACUGAAACCUGUUAAGCAUAUUUCUUAAAUUGUUAAGGGAUUACAUAAACAUACCACAUUCCUUUUUUGCAGACACUUAAUUGGAAACAAUAUUGCUUGCUCUAUUCUAUAGCAUCUACUUGACAAGGAGAAAAUCACUAUAACUAUAUCAACUCCCUCUAAACCAGACCACAGCAGUAGUAAUUAAAUAAAUCAGAACCCAGAAGGUCAUCUUGCAACAACAUUGCGCACAGAACAUCUUUUGAUUCAUUUCUCCCUUCCCGCUAACGGCAACUCUACUGACCAAGCCAUUUCUGAACUAUACUUCAAAAUGCUUCCAGAUUCAACACCAAGAUGCUUCUAUUAAGAGCAGGGGGAAGAGUGAAAAGGCCCAGCACCCACACACAAGGCUAAAGGGGCUGCCUAGAUUGCAACCGCAUAUUGUUAGUUACCUGGUUCAUAAUGGUAGUGGUAUUUGCAGUCUUGCAUUUCUUUUCAAAUACUCAGGAGCAGCCUCUGCCAACCUAGUGCUGUCCAGCUGUUUUGGGGCCAAAACUCCUAUCAGCCUCAAGUCUCCAAGUGUACUCCCACUUCUUCCUUUGUAGUCACACUUGACUUCAGUGCUUUUUGAACACAGUGCCUUUUCCAGAAAAAAGGCUCAAAAUCAGGGCAUGGCUGUGAAGGAGGAACUGGGAGUACACUCAAGCUUUAGAGCAGUAUUAUUCAAUCUUGGGUGCUGUUGUACUACAACUCCCAUCUUCACCAGCAAACUUAGCCAAUGGUCAACAACAUCGGGGGACCCAAGGUUGACAAAUACUACUUUAAAGUGUGCUCUCAAUAUUUCGUAUCAACUGAUGUGAUAUGCCAAGUAAUUGGCACGUGGCUGUCAAUAUGGCCUGCAGAAAGUUGGCCAUUUUGGGAUUCCAUCCCUUGAGCUAAAAGUGGCUUCCCACUUCUGCUUUAGGCGAAAUUCCUAUACUAGCAAGCUCCUUGGUAUUUGGCUAUCAUUCAUCCUGCUUAUUAAGAACUCUUAUGCAAUCACCUUGGGGUUCACUGUUGGGCAAAAAAUGUAGUGUAUAGCACACUCUGUACAUGGUCCAAGACAAAAUGGGACUGUGGGGCGGGAGCAGAGUGUACCAGCCUUCAACCCGUGCACUUCAGAUGUUGCUAGACUCCCAAUUUCCAUUAGUCCCAGCCAGCAUGGUCAAGGAUCAUGGAAGCUGUAGUCCAACAACAGAUGAAAGGCACCAGCUGGGGAAAGCUGGACUAUACAGAAUAGCUCCUCAGUUAAGAAACCAUUUUAAUACAGAAGCAGUUCCUCUGUUUUGAAUUUUCCCAUUGAAAACAGACACCAACUAACAUGAAAUCAGUUAUUUUUUAUCCUACAUAGGCCAGCCAAUAUAUUUAAAAAUAAAAAAUACACAUUACCAAAGAUAAAGCAAAAUCUUUGGGACCAUAUGCUCAUCUUUGGCAGCAAGGCAAUUUUUCUGUUAGUGAUGCAACAACCCUUGUACUAGAAGCAAACAAAAAACUCAACAGAUAUUUUAUUCUUCUUCCAUGUUGUAAAAAUAAUUAAGAACAAUGAUGUGAACAAGCAACUUGGUGAACACCAAAGUAUCCUAUUCUGAAAUGUCCACCAGGAUAUUUUCAGCUUAGAUACAAGAAUUGCAUAAUUACCCAACUUCCUAAUGUUCUAAAUACUAGUAUUUCCCUGACUUGUCC